GUACUUGUUUUGGCCGCACAUAUAUUAAAAUUGGAACAAUACAGAGAAGAUUUGCAUGGCCCCUGUGCAAGGAAGACACACAAAUUCAUUAAGUAUUACAUAUUUUA